CGAUGGCGAAGGCAGCCACCUGGGUCAACACUGACGCUCAUGUACGAAAGCGUGGGGAGCAAACAGGAUUAGAUGCCCUGGUAGUCCACGCCGUAAACGAUGUCUACUAGAAGCUCGGAACCUCGGUUCUGUUUUUCAAAGCUAACGCAUUAAGUAGACCGCCUGGGGAGUACGGCCGCAAGGUUAAAACUCAAAUGAAUUGACGGGGGCCCGCACAAGCGGUGGAGCAUGUGGUUUAAUUCGAUGCAACGCGAAGAACCUUACCUACACUUGACAUACAGAGAACUUACCAGAGAUGGUUUGGUGCCUUCGGGAACUCUGAUACAGGUGCUGCAUGGCUGUCGUCAGCUCGUGUUGUGAGAUGUUGGGUUAAGUCCCGCGACGAGCGCAACCCCUAUCCUUAGUUGCUAGCAGGUAAUGCUGAGAACUCUAAGGAGACUGCCGGUGAUAAACCGGAGGAAGGUGGGGACGACGUCAAGUCAUCAUGGCCCUUACGUGUAGGGCUACACACGUGCUACAAUGGCGCAUACAGAGUGCUGCGAACUCGCGAGAGUAAGCGAAUCACUUAAAGUGCGUCGUAGUCCGGAUUGGAGUCUGCAACUCGACUCCAUGAAGUCGGAAUCGCUAGUAAUCGCGUAUCAGAAUGACGCGGUGAAUACGUUCCCGGGCCUUGUACACACCGCCCGUCACACCAUGGGAGUGGGUUGCUCCAGAAGUAGAUAGUCUAACCCUCGGGAGGACGU
rnacentral:rRNA from 1 species